CGUAGGUGGCAAGCGUUGUCCGGAUUAUUGGCGUAAGGGAACGCAGGCGGUCCUUAAGUCUGAUGUGAAGCCUUCGGCUUAACCGAAGAAUUGCAUUGGAACUGGAGGACUUGAGUGCAGAAGAGGAGAGUGGAACUCCAUGUGUAGCGGUGAAAUGCGUAGAUAUAUGGAAGAACACCAGUGGCGAAAGCGGCUCUCUGGUCUGUAACUGACGCUGAGGUUCGAAAGUGUGGUAGCAAACAGGAUU
rnacentral:rRNA from 1 species